rnacentral:lncRNA from 1 species
AUUAAGACGAUGUAAAUAAAGGCAAUUUCUACAAGGUAACCUAAAAGUAUUAUAUAUUUUUAAUUCAAUUUGAAUGUUUACUAAACAUUCCAGUAUUCGAGGAGCUUCUUACAAUGCAGGAGUAUACUCUUGUUGGAAAAAAAAAUAUCUUGUAAGUUUGGGAGUUCCAAUUAUUGUUACUUGUAACAUCUGGUGGUGGGUUAAACUUUUCAAACACAGAAUAUCGACUAUAGAGUGUAAUAAUUCUCCUCGUUUAGUCCUCGUCUCGUUCGUUUAGAGAAAAAUAUGAUGGUAUACAUCAUAUUUUUCCCUAAACGAAUGAGACGAGGACUAAACGAAGAGAAUUAUUACACUCUAUAGUCAAUAUUCUGUGUUUGAAAAGUUUAAUCCACCACCAGACGUUACAAGUAACAAUAAUUGGAACUCCCAAACUUACAAGAUAUUUUUUUUCCAACAAGAGUAUACUCCUGCAUUGUAAGAAGCUCCUCAAAUACUGGAAUGUUUAGUAAACAUUCAAAUUGAAUUAAAAAUAUAUAAUACUUUUGGGUUACCUUGUAGAAAUUGCCCUUUAUUUGCAUCGUCUUGAUUUGCAGCUGCCGAGCAUGGCUCAAAAAUUUGAAGGAUCCCAAAUACAAAUCUUGAGGGUUGUCUUGCAGUAUUGUCGU